rnacentral:lncRNA from 1 species
AACCUUCAUCAAUCAUAAUCAUCACUAUAAAUCAAACCAUCACAAAAAAAAGAGAACAAAAAAAAACACAAAAGAUUUGAGGCAGAAAAUUAGAGGAGACCAAACCAAAAACCCACAGGACAAGAACGGCAGCUGUGCUGCGUUUUUCACUGCACCCUGUUUCCACUUUGAUUCAAAAUCAGUAGCCGCAAUACAAAAAAUAGGAACCUGCAAAUUGAAAGAAGGGAAACUGAUAGGCUUAGGAGAAGAGGAGCAAACUAUCAAAUUUAGGAAGUUCACUGCAAAACCAAGUAAGAGCGC